AGGGACGUAGCUCAAUUGGCAGAGCACCGGUUUCCAAAACCGGCGGUUGAGCGUUCGACUCGCUCCGUCCCUG
rnacentral:tRNA from 1 species